GGGAGUAGUUAGCGGCCUGGUGGCGUUCCUGGACUUCAAAUCCUGUGGCAGGGCAGCCCCCUGUGGUGGGUUCGAUUCCCAUCUACUCCCGCCA
rnacentral:tRNA from 1 species